CCUACGGGGGGCUGCAGUGGGGAAUAUUGGACAAUGGGCGAAAGCCUGAUCCAGCCAUGCCGCGUGUGUGAAGAAGGCCUUCGGGUUGUAAAGCACUUUCAGUGGGGAAGAAAGCCUUGGGGCUAAUACCCUCGAGGAAGGACAUCACCCACAGAAGAAGCACCGGCUAACUCCGUGCCAGCAGCCGCGGUAAUACGGAGGGUGCGAGCGUUAAUCGGAAUUACUGGGCGUAAAGCGCGCGUAGGCGGUCUGAUAAGCCGGUUGUGAAAGCCCCGGGCUCAACCUGGGAACGGCAUCCGGAACUGUCAGGCUAGAGUGCAGGAGAGGAAGGUAGAAUUCCCGGUGUAGCGGUGAAAUGCGUAGAGAUCGGGAGGAAUACCAGUGGCGAAGGCGGCCUUCUGGACUGACACUGACGCUGAGGUGCGAAAGCGUGGGUAGCAAACAGGAUCAGAUACCCUAGUAGUC
rnacentral:rRNA from 1 species